rnacentral:rRNA from 1 species
GCAGCAGUGGGGAAUUUUCCGCAAUGGGCGAAAGCCUGACGGAGCGACGCUGCGUGAAGGAUGACGGCCUGAGGGUUGUAAACUUCUUUUCUCGAAGAAGAAUCAAUGACGGUAUUCGAGGAAUAAGCAUCGGCUAACUCUGUGCCAGCAGCCGCGGUAAGACAGAGGAUGCAAGUGUUAUUCGGAUUGAUUGGGCGUAAAGCGUCUGUAGGCGGUUUAGAAAGUCUUUUGUGAAAUACUUCAGCUCAACUGGAGCUCCGCAAAAGAAACUUCUAGACUUGAGGGAAGUAGAGGUACAGGGAAUUUCCGGUGGAGCGGUGAAAUGCGUAGAUAUCGGAAGGAACACCAAUAUGGCGAAGGCACUGUACUGGGCUUUACCUGACGCUAAGAGACGAAAGCUAAAGGAGUGAUUAGGAUUAGAUACCCUAGUAAUUUUAGCCGUAAACGAUGGAAACUCACUGCCGAGCCGGUAUUCGGAGCGGUGGUCAAGCUAACGCGUGAAGUUUCCCGCCUGGGGAUUACGCAUGCAAAUGUGAAACUCAAAGGAAUUGACGGGGACCCGCACAAGCGGUGGAGUAUGUGGUUUAAUUCGAUGCAACGCGAAAAACCUUACCAAGGUUUGAAAUCAUUCUAAAACUCUUUGAAAGAAGAGCCUCCUUCGGGAUAGAAUGACAGGUGGUGCAUGGCUGUCGUCAGCUCGUGUUGUGAAAUGUCAAGUUAAGUCUUGUAACGAGCGCAACCCAUGUCUUUUGUUGCUGUUUACAGUGCUUAAAAGAGACUGCCGCUCUACAGCGGAGGAAGGUGUGGAUGAUGUCAAGUCAGCAUGCCCCUUAUAUCUUGGGCUACACACGUACUACAAUGGUAGGGACAAUGAGUCGCAAACCUGCGAAGGCUAGCCAAUCUCAAAAACCCUAUCUCAGUUCGGAUUGUACUCUGCAACUCGAGUGCAUGAAGGUGGAAUCGCUAGUAAUCGCUGGUCAGCAUACAGCGGUGAAUACGUUCCCGGGUCUUGUACACACUGCCCGUCACACCAUGGAAGUCGAUCCUUCCCUAAGUCGUUACUCGAACCUUUUAG